UACGUAGGUGGCAAGCGUUGUCCGGAUUUACUGGGCGUAAAGGGCGCGUAGGCGGUCGUGACAAGUCACUUGUGAAAUCUCCGGGCUUAACUCGGAACGGUCAAGUGAUACUGUCGGACUAGAGUACAGAAGGGGCAACUGGAAUUCUCGGUGUAGCGGUGAAAUGCGUAGAUAUCGAGAGGAACACCUGCGGCGAAGGCGGGUUGCUGGGCUGAUACUGACGCUGAGGCGCGGAAAGCCAGGGGAGCGAACGGG
rnacentral:rRNA from 1 species